rnacentral:tRNA from 1 species
GCUAGGGUAGCUCAAUAGGUAGAGCACAUAAAAGAAAAAUGUGUCUAGCAUUCAGACACUUACAGCAAAAUUCUUUUCCAUUACAUACAGGAUGUUGUUAUGAGUUCGAGUCUCAUCCCUAGCGA